UGUAAAAUGGGGAUAAGAAUAGUACUCACUUUGUAUGGUUAUUGUGAGGGUUAAAUAAAGUUAAUGUAAUGAAAGCACAUAGAUCAGUGUGUGGCACAUUUUAAGCACAGUAGCGGGAGAAGUUAUUGUGAUAAUAACGAGUAUUGUGGCUGCUUGUGUCGAGGACACACUGGAGGGGACCAGGGUGGACGCAGAGAUGCCAUAUGGGCAGCUCCUGCCCUGGUCCAGGAGAAGAAUGAGAGUGGCUUGGACUAGAUUGGCCACAGUGGAGGGAGAGAGAGAGCUGGUCAGAGCUAGGAAGAGCUGGCAGGAGUUGCCCGUGGGUCAGAUGUGAAAUACGAGAGAAAGAGGAGUCGAGGCUGCUCCAAGGAUUUUGCCUGGAGCAUUUGGAAGAUGAAGUUGCCAUUCACUGAGGGAAGUUCCAUGGGAUAAUGAAGCAUAUGUGUGAGCACAGAAGAUGCACCAGGUGGCAGCAAGCAGGCGCCGGCCAGCAAGAACGGUGGGUAGUGGGCAGCAUGGGUGCUGAGCAGUUGGCCUGGCCACCUGGCAUGCACCCGCAUGGCUGGGCAGUCUGGGACACCGUGGGGCUGCAGAGAGGUGGCUGGGCCAGGAUCUGUGCCCAGAUGGGCAGCAGCAGAAAAUGGCUGCGGUCCACCAAGGCCACGGUGAGAGAAGGGACCCCACAUGGAUAACAUCUACACAAAUAUAAGCUCUGCAGCCUACGUCUGGAGCAGGAACUGCCAGCACUCACGCAGUAAACUGUCAGUAAAUUAUUAUAAAGCCGUGGAUGUUGCAAUAAAGCUCAUUAGAGAGUUAGAAUUCCUCAGAGUUUAAUGUCUCUGGUUUUGAAAACUGCUGCAACAUUGCAAAGCAAAGAAGUAUUCACAGGCUUUGAAACAGAAGUUAAGUUUAAAGAUCACAUUCUAUAGAAAAGAGUUCUAUUUUCAUGUGACAUUUCAUUAUUGAGGAAGGCAAUUAAAAAAUUUUACCUUGUAAUUGAAGAUACAACAAUCAAAUGCAUAGAGGUUAUUAAAAUUAUAUACAAACCAUGAAGUCAGUUUCAAUUUCUUGUCCAACCUCCACCAGUUAUAGAAAAUGUACUAAAAUUUAUAUUUUGAAAUAAUUUAUGAGAAAUUGCUCCUAAUGUGAAAGCCUAUGAAAUAUUCUUAACAACUUCAGUCACAGUUGCAUCUGCAAAAAGAUCCUUCUCCAAAUUAAAACUUAUAACAAAUUAUCUGUGACCUUGCAUUUGCCAGGAAUGACUGUCAUAGCUUUCAAGUACAGGCAGACCUUGGACAUAUCGCGGGUUCACUUUCAGACCACUGUAAUAAAGUGAGUAUCGCAAUAAAGCAAGUGGUAAUCUUUUUGCUGGUGGAGGGUCUUGCCUUCAGUUUGUAAAUCAAAGGCAACACCUGUGAAACUCAAUUAAGUGAAGCACAAUAAAAUGAGGCAUGCCUGUAUGUCAAUUGAAAUGAAGUUGGCAAAAGUAUUAUUUUGACAACCUAAUAAAUGAAUUUGCAGAAAACGCUAA